rnacentral:snoRNA from 1 species
UCGGGUGUGAAGAUAUCAUUAUCCCUGAUUUCUCCAUGAUUUUCAAGUAUUCAUACUGUCUGACCCAA